CGGAGCGGCAGACGGGAGAGUAACACGUGGGAACGUGCCCUUUGGUUCGGAAUAACUCAGGGAAACUUGAGCUAAUACCGGAUAAGCCCUUCGGGGGAAAGAUUUAUUGCCAUUGGAGCGGCCCGCGUCGGAUUAGCUAGUUGGUGAGGUAAUGGCUCACCAAGGCGACGAUCCGUAGCUGGUCUGAGAGGAUGACCAGCCUCACUGGGACUGAGACACGGCCCAGACUCCUACGGGAGGCAGCGGUGGGGAAUAUUGGACAAUGGGCGCAAGCCUGAUCCAGCCAUGCCGCGUGGAUGAUGAAGGCCCUAGGGUUGUAAAGUCCUUUUAACGGGGAAGAUAAUGACGGUACCCGUAGAAUAAGCCCCGGCUAACUUCGUGCCAGCAGCCGCGGUAAUACGAAGGGGGCUAGCGUUGCUCGGAAUUACUGGGCGUAAAGCGCACGUAGGCGGACCGAUAAGUCGGGGGUGAAAUCCUGGAGCUCAACUCCAGAACUGCCUUCGAAACUGCCGGUCUUGAGUUCGGGAGAGGUGAGUGGAACUGCGAGUGUAGAGGUGAAAUUCGUAGAUAUUCGCAAGAACACCAGUGGCGAAGGCGGCUCACUGGCCCGAUACUGACGCUGAGGUGCGAAAGCGUGGGGAGCAAACAGG
rnacentral:rRNA from 1 species